rnacentral:tRNA from 1 species
UCCAGGGUAGCGAGUGGACAAGGCACCUGCCCGGUAAGCAGAAGGGUGUGGUUUCGAUUCCCGCCCCUGGAC